AUUGAACGCUGGCGGCAGGCUUAACACAUGCAAGUCGAGCGGGGUGAUGGUGCUUGCACUAUCACUUAGCGGCGGACGGGUGAGUAAUGCUUAGGAAUCUGCCUAUUAGUGGGGGACAACAUCUCGAAAGGGAUGCUAAUACCGCAUACGUCCUACGAGGGAAAGCAGGGGAUCAAUUGUGACCUUGCGCGAAUAGAUGAGCCUACGUCGGAUUAGCUAGUUGGUGGGGUAAAGGCCUACCAAGGCGACGAUCUGUAGCGGGUCUGAGAGGAUGAUCCGCCACACUGGGACUGAGACACGGCCCAGACUCCUACGGGAGGCAGCAGUGGGGAAUAUUGGACAAUGGGGGGAACCCUGAUCCAGCCAUGCCGCGUGUGUGAAGAAGGCCUUAUGGUUGUAAAGCACUUUAAGCGAGGAGGAGGCUCUUUUGGUUAAUACCCAGAAUGAGUGGACGUUACUCGCAGAAUAAGCACCGGCUAACUCUGUGCCAGCCGCCGCGGUAA
rnacentral:rRNA from 1 species